UACGGAGGGUGCGAGCGUUGUUCGGAAUCACUGGGCGUAAAGCGCGUGUAGGCGGCUUCUUAAGUCUGGUGUGAAAGCCCGGGGCUUACCCCCCGGAAGGGCACUGGAAACUGGGGAGCUGGAGUACCGGAGAGGAGGGUGGAAUUCCUGGUGUAGCGGUGAAAUGCGUAGAUAUCAGGAGGAACACCGGUGGCGAAGGCGGCCCUCUGGACGGAUACUGACGCUGAGGAGCGAAAGCGUGGGGGAGCGAACAGG
rnacentral:rRNA from 1 species